rnacentral:pre_miRNA from 1 species
UGGACAGAUUAUUGUAUUCGACUUUAUUAAUGGCGUAAAAUAGGGGAUUACACUGUUUUUAAGACGGAAAGUAAAUCAAUUAACAUAAUAGACUCCU